rnacentral:rRNA from 1 species
GUUAAAAAAUUUAUUAAUUUAAUUAUUUUGUUAUAUUAUUAUAAAUAAAUUUUUUUAAAUUAAUUGGUUAGAAAUAUUUAAUUUAAUUAUAGUUAAUAGUAUUGAAAAAGAAUAUUUAUUAAAUAUAAAAAAGAAAAAUUUAUUUUUUGUAUCUUGUGUAUCAGAGUUUAUUAAAAAAACAUUAAUAAUUUAAUUUUCUCGAAUUUAAAAGAGCUAAUUUUAUAGUUAUUUUAAUGUGUAAUAAUUAUUUAAAAUAUAAAAUUAGUAAUGAAAUGUUAUUCGUUUUUAAAUUUAUCUAGUUUUAAAAGAAAAAAAUUUAAUUUUGAUUUUAAUUAAUAGAAUUUUUAUUUUUAAAUUUUUUAUAAUUAAAAUUUAAUAAUAUUGGGGAUAAGCUCAAUUUUAAAUGUUUAUAAUUUUGUUUAAUUUUUUAAUAAUAUGUAGAAUUAAAAUUUUUUAUCAUUAAUAAAAUGUUAUAAUUAAUUAUUAUAAAAUGAAAUUUAUAUAAAAUUUAAGUUUUUUAUUUUAAAAUAUUUUUGAAUUAUAAAAAAUUAGGUAUAAUGAUAAAAUUAGUAUAAUAAAUAUAUAAAAUUAAUUUUUAUAUUUAUAUUAAAUUAAGGAAUUCGGCAAUAUUAUUUUUUACCUGUUUAUUAAAAACAUGUCUUUUUGAUUUUAAUUUAAAGUCAAGCCUGCUCAAUGAAUUUUAAAUAGCCGCAGUAUUUUGACUGUGCAAAGGUAGCAUAAUCAAUAGUUUUUUAAUUAAAAACUGGAAUGAAGGGUUUGAUAAAAAAAUAACUGUCUCAAUUUAAUUAAAUAAAAUUUUAUUUUUAAGUUAAAAAGCUUAAAUUAAAUUUAAAGACGAGAAGACCCUAUAAAGUUUUAUUUUUUAUUAAUAAUUAUUUUUAGAAUUAAUAUUAAUUAUUUUUUAAAAAAAUUAAGUUGGGGUGACUAAAAAAUUGAAUUAACUUUUUUUAAAUUAAACAAUUAUUUUUGAUUUUUUGAUCCAUUUAUAUGAUAAAAGAUUAAAUUACUUUAGGGAUAACAGCGUAAUUAUUUUAGAGAGUUCUUAUUGAAAAAAUAGUUUGCGACCUCGAUGUUGGAUUAAAAUUAAUAAUUGGUGAAGAAGCUGAUUUAUUAGGUCUGUUCGACCUUUAAAAUUUUACAUGAUCUGAGUUUAAACCGGUGUAAGCCAGGUUGGUUUCUAUCUUAAAUAAAAAAUUAUAUUUUAGUACGAAAGGACCAAAUAUA